UGGAAGGUGUUCAUUCUUAGCUUGGACUCCUGAACAAGCCUGAGUUUUCUAGAGAUCAUCCCUCUUUUCUCAUCUGGAGAAGGAAAAGCUCGUACUGUAACUGCUUAUUGAGCAUAUUCAGAUUCCAUGUCAUAUAUUUCUUUCUGCAUUUUGGUUUUGUUCAAUUCAGG